UUCCUCAUCAAUUGGAAGGGAUUCCUUCCAGUCAAUGAGGAGGCUAAACCUCAUCAACCGGAAGGGAUUCCUUCCGGUUGAUGAGUUCAAUCUUCCUCAUCGACUGGAAGGGAUCCCUUCCGGUUGAUGAGGGA
rnacentral:miRNA from 1 species